rnacentral:lncRNA from 1 species
CACGCCACGUGCAUGCGGAUGUGUGAGAAGAGGCCCUGCGGGUGGGAGUUCUCGUGACGCACAGGGGUGGGGAGGAGCGCAACCCCUUUGCAUCGCUGUGCUUUGCUGUACUUCUGCGGGUGUGUGUCGGAGGCUGUGUUCCCUGACCCUCGACCGUUGGAGUCAGGAGGGUCCCCCCCACGCGUCCUCGGGCCGCUGGGCUGACCCACGGGGGCGGGGCAAGGAAGGGGGCUUCCAGGGGAGGGCGCCGCUGGGGCGUGGCGGGAGGGGGAAACUGCGGGGCGGGUGUGGCGAGGCGGAGUGGCGCUCGGCCCGCCCGGCCUUCCGGCGGCGGAGGUGCGGGUGCGGGUGCGGGGUCGGGGGUGGGCGCCCAGGUGCUCGCUCUUUAAGAGGCCGGCGGAGGCGCCGCGCGCUCGGUCCGCACUCGCAGCGCAAACUUGCCGGGCCCGGCUCGCGCCUCCUCGAGGGCGGCGGCGGCGGCGGCGGCGGCGGCGGCGGCGGCGCGGGGGCUGAGCCGCGGCGGUCCCCUCGCCCCCUGGUGCUCCGGGCGCCCCCGCCCCUCCCGCAGCCUCCCGUCUGCGCGUCUUCCGCGCUCUCCCCGUCUCUCGCUCGCUCUCCGGCGCGCUCUCUCGCUCGCUCUCAUUUUUCCUUGCUGCUGCCGCCGCGGCCGCCGCUGCCGCUGCCGCUGCCGCUGCCGCCGCGCCGCCGGGCGCCCGCAUCUCGGCCGGCUGCGCUCGCAGGUCGGCUCGCGCUGCACUCCCCCGCCCGGAGCCCCCGGCCGGACCCCGCUGCCCGGAGCCGCCUCGCCCGCUCCCUUCGGCUUGGACGCCGGGCUCCGCGGGGCCGGGGCAGGGCUGGCCGCCGCUCCCUUGCUCUUGCCGGAGCAGCAGCAGAACGCCGCGCGCGGGGAGGCGGCUCCGGCCGGGCGGCCGCCGGCCCAUCCCCGCUGCGUCCGGGACUCCGGGCGGCUCGGCGCCCGGCUCGGUCCGCAGCGUCAGCGCCGUCCGCCGCGGCCCGGGCUCUGGGCAGCGCGAGCAGCCCGCGGCCGCCGCCGCCUCCCGGCGCCCCCGGGGCAGGCGGGAGCGCAACCGACCCCUCGCCGCGGCUCAGACCUCGCCGGCGCGCGGGUGCGCGCUGGGUCUGCCCCACUUUCCCCUCUGAGAUCCACAUGGGAUGUGGGCCUGGGGUUCUGCGUCUGCUGGUUGAACUCUUCAGAAGCCAGUGCCUGGGUGGUGGGAGCACUUCAGUCAAGAGCCUGCGUCUGGGCGUCUUCAUUCUGUUGGAGGCGUGACGUCCCCAAGAGGAGCGCCUGGCACAGUGGCAGACAGGCAGCCCGAGAACUGGAGCAGUUGGGGCCUCUGUGUGGGGGAAGUCCAAGCAGGGGACAGGUGGCUCUGAGAGGCUUGCUUGGCCUGGAUGCAGGGACUGCAUCUCUAGGAAAACCUCCUAAUCCAAACACAAGCCCUUCUUCUAAAUGGCUAGGGAAACUGAGGCACAGAAUGGGUGAGUGGCUUGCUGGUCUUCAUUUGACAAACCCAUUGGAAUGGGAGCCUGGGUGUCAGCCCCCCAACCAAUCCCUGACUCAGCUUCCAGUGCUUCUCCCUGUGGCCUUCUAAGUUGAGGGGAGGGAGGUUGCUGGUUUUGAGCGAGUGGGAGGCUGGGGCAAGGGAAGGAACCCCAGGGGAAAUUAGCCCAAAUUAGCAGUGAGAAUGAGGAAGAGCUGGUGUUCUCUCCUCUACCCUUGCAGAUAAAUAUUUAAUCACAACAACAAUAAUAAUGACAAUGAUCAUAAUAAUGUGCAGUAGUUCAGGCCAUAACCUGAGCCCCCCCUCUCAGAGGGAGGAAGUGGGGGAGAGAGAAAGAGCAGUGGAGAAAUUGAGAGCUAAAGACCAUGAGAAAGAUGGUGGGGGAGGGAGGCCAAGCAAAUGAAAAGGAGGCCUACCUCCUUGAGCUUGGAGCCCCUGGGGUUACCGUCUGCCAGGGGUGUGGCUGAGGUAGAAAUGUGAAAUUUGCAUUGCCCGAUUGGAUUUGGGAUGAGGAUUCUGAGCUGGGACAGCCCCAGCUUCUCCCUGGUCUUCAGAGUGAGCAGCUCCCAGCCUGGUUUCUUCUGCAGGGGGCCUUGCUGGCUUCCUUAUUCCUCAGUCCCCAAGGAACCUAAGUGUCUUUGGCUCCAGAGCUGGGAAGCUGGGGUCCGCGUGGUAUUGUGCUUCUCACUACCUGUGUGACUUGGACAAAAUGCUCUUCUGCUCUGGGCCUCAGUUCCCUCAUCUCUAAAAUGGGGUUGGAUCCUGUGGACCUGAUUUCUUGCUGUUCCCUCAUGUGGGUGAGUGUUGAGGAAGACCCUUCUUCCUCUCAAGUCAGUUCAGGCUGUUCCUGGGGAGUGUGCACUCUGAUCCCCUGGUUUCUGAUGGCAGUGGGUCUAGGCCUAAGAAAUCUUCAAACAUGACCUAAUUUCUGCCUCAGGCUCUCCCACUUGAACCAAAGUCGAGCAGCAGCUGGGAGAAAACCAAGUUCAGAUUUGUGGAGCCUGUGGCGAUAACCUCCAGCAUCUCCUUCUCUCAGGCUCCUCAUGAGAGAUCAGAAUAGCUAAUGUCUUCUUUGGGCUUCUGUUUGAUUCUCUCUCUCUCUCUCUCUCUCCCCCUCCCUCUCCCUCUCUCCAUCCCUCUCCCUCUCCCCCUCCCUCU